CCUUGUUUCCCUUGGUGUUUCUCCUCUUUCAUACCACCAGUCGGCACCUUUGAGAGAGCAGCUGGCUGGAUGCCACACAGUAGGUCACUGCUGCCACCCUCCUGUGCACUCUGCAGGGCCAGAGACCCUGCACAGGAUACAGGUCCACAACCCACACCCGCUCAACCUCAAAUGUGCCUCAUCACUGCCGAUCUGCCUGGCAAUCACUGGGCUACAUCUGGCCUUAACACAACUCAAGGCUCCUGAGCGAACCCCCCAGCACUACCCAGGCUCUGGGGAUCUUCCAGGGCUGGGGGGCCUGUGAGGAGUGGCAGUCAUGGAGGUACAGCUGUGUCCUCGACUACCUUCAGAAGACACAUUACUGAUAAUAGAAACUGCUUGUACUGCAGCAUCGCAGCGUGAGAUGUUUUAACUGUGACCCAGGAACAUCGUAGUGACAUCAAACAAGCUCAGUGCCUGACACCAGUGGUGAGCUUCUGUCGCUCUCUGAUGGAGAAAGUCUUCUGAACUCCUGCUGGAAUCGCGUUGCUCCAGGGGCGAGAGUCACACUCCCGUACUUUGACCCAUCGCAGUGAACUGACUGCGCUUUGGGCCAGGCUGUGGCAGAGACACAGCACUGCCUCAGCCGCUCCACUCAUCUGCCGAAAAAACAUACCCCUCUCAGCUGGAGAGCUUUCUACACAGCUUUCAUCAUUAGUUGCCCAGAAAGGGGUUGGCUGCAUAGACCAGGUUGCGAGAAAGUCGCUGCCCCGGUGCGGCUGGGAAUACUGCUCGCUGGUGACUCGCGUUCCCUCCAGCGGUCAGAGUCUGCCAGGCCUAACGCAGACCACAACCGUUGCCAUUCAGUCAAGGACUUUGCAGUCAAAUGAAGCAAAGUCAAACCACGCUGUGAGCGGUGUGAUGCCUCGCUGGAAUGGCUGGAUAGAGCAGAACAAAUGCCUGUUCUCAGGGAGUCAUUUUUAUAUUGGCAAUUGAAAACUCUCUGUUCAGUUCAGCACAUCAGUCUCCUAAAUUACACAAUACAUUUUCAGAACAGCCUGCAGAGCUUGAAAGAAUCCAGCACAGAAGCUUACAGGCCUGUUUCUCCUGCCUAGCUCAAGCUUAUCCUGGCAAAAAUAGGCUCUGCACCACAGUAAUUGAAAGGUAACCUUGGGGACUCAACACAGAGAAGAAAUAAGAGAGCUGUGCAGCUCACAACCUCCCCUCCAGGUGAGCCAUUAGAAAGGAAAUCAGAACAUAAAUUCUUAUAGGUUUGGAAAGUCCAGUGCAUUGCUUUUCCUUAGGCCUUCAUGGAGGAGGAGCAGGAAAGCAGACCAGAAGCACUGGGGAACCAUGUGGAGGGAAAGAGGCCACAGUACCAUCUUCAGCUUCUUUCCUACAACUGUGAGAGGUGGGUGUCUGAUUACAGAAAAUGAAAAGCAAAAGACAGCUCUUUUUUGGUAGAAUAGAUUUCUAAAAUGCACUCAAUAAUCAAUUGCUGCUGCUGCUGUUACAGAAGGCAGGGUCUUCCUGUGAAUUUCUGGGAUUUCUUCACAACAAGCAGAGUAAUUGUUAGGCAGUGGCUGCUAGGCUUGCAGUUCUACUGUCUAUGGCAUGGAUCAUGAGGAAGAGAAUGCUGUGUCAGCAGCAGAAGUGCUGCAGACCCCUUGCACAAACCUCUGCACUUGGUGGGACAACAGGCCCUGGCCGGGAAAAUCUAUUGCCACUUAACUGCAAUCGGAAAAGGAGAGAGCAUCAGGCACAUAGACCUGAAGCACAAUACACAGCCCAUCUUUGCGAGCCCGGCCCACCUCUGGCGAGCAGCGGAAUGAACCCACCAGAGGCAGUGGCAUUUUCCAGCCAGCCAUGCAAGCAACAGUGCAGGGUAUCAUGCCAGGGUCCUCGGGCCUUGUCUGCCACAUGUCCCUAGGGCACGGGACACUUCACCUCUGAGAACUUGUACCCACAAGCAACAUCCUCUGAGACCUACAUGCUGAGAGCUGUCCCAGGGAGCUUGUUAACAGCCUGGAGGUCUGGAUAGAGCUUGUGGAUAUGUGGUAGUCACCAAAUUCAUCUGGCACCCUGACCUCUGCUUAGUACCAGUUUUCAGGCACAAGCCUUGUUUGGGAUAACCCCAGGAUCUUGCUGUAAAUGCUGACCCUGGUAGUAUGUGCAUCAUCAUUCACAGGUCUUGGACCUUCUUCCCCACUCCAUCAGCCAGUAGGAUCUGGGCUCUCUUUGCUUUGGGUCACACAGAAAGGAAAGGUGUGUUCUCCAGUGAUUUCUGACUCCUGUGACUUGCAACCCAAGUCACUUCUCAUAGGAGGCUCCAUCAGCCUCCUCAUGGGAAAGAAAAAAUUCUUCGUGGAAAUCAUCAGCAAUAGGUGAUAGGGGAUAGAGCUCCUAGUGGAGAAGGUUGCACUGGGAUGCAGCCCUGGACUGUCAUCCUAUAAGCCAAUGCCAGGUUGUUGAAAUCUUCUCCAGGUCCCUCAUGUCUUCUCCAGCAGUGUGAUUUACCCCUCCAAAAGAUCAGCCCAGCAUCUUACAAUACCGCGUAUCUCCCCCAGCAUCACUGGCAAACCAGCCCCCAGGAGGAGAGCCCUGUGCAGGAUACAUGGCAAACUUGGGUGCCUCACAAAAUGCAUUUUGCUGCAUUUACUUCUAGUGCUGCAGACUACUUGCAGUGGAAUUGCUGCCUGUGGACGUGCAAAUUAGACUCCACCUGGCAAGGUGCUGGGGUGUUGGCUGGACUGCACUGGCCUGGUGGUAAGAACUGGGAAUUAGAGAUACCCCAUGUACUUAGCAAAGGGUAAUUUAACCUCUGUGUCCUUGCAAGUGAGGAGAAGACUUGCAAGGGUGAACUCUGGGACAUGCAAAGCUGUUACGCUCUGCUGACUUGGAACAGCAUUGAUCAGUUUGUGCCAGCUGCAGAUUUGGUGAGGAAACUUAAAGUACAGCAGAUUGAUUGCUACCAAGGGACAAAUUCCCUGUAGCUGGUUGGAUUCAAGCACUGAAGUACUGGCGUAUUGAUCUAUUUAUGGUGAUUUAUUAGUAAUAGCCCUGGACCCCAAACUCUCUUGUGCAGUUAUACAAGUAAAAAAGCAUGCUAUUGCCAGCCUAACCGAUAUCUUCCAGAGGAUAUAUAGAGGCUUAUAUACCUCUAUAUAAAGCCCGACAUUGUGGGCAUAUGCUGCAGACAGGAAAACAAAAGUGAUCCCAGGGCAAAAUGUAUCACAUAAACAGCCCCAGCAUGCUGGGUCCCAGGCAGCAGGAAGGUCUGGGGUGCUGUUGGGGCCCACAGAGUGGUUCCUCCUCUGAGACAAGGACCAGCUCCUUCCCUGCUCCAGCAACCUCAAGCAGGGGAAGGAUCCCUGCGAGGAGACGAGGGAAAUCUGGCAGGUGCCGAGCUGUUGGUGUUGGGUGCAGGCACUGCCUGUGCAGCCCACAGUGGGGUCAGCGGGAGCAGAGCAACACUUAAUGACCAGAAGGAAGCCACCACAUCCCCAGUGCGUGGAUCCUUCAUGGGUUUUGUUCCCUUUGCCAUGCACACUGCUUGAUAUCCCCUUGCCUGAUGAAAGCUGCCCGCUCACACCUGCCCCCUGCACAAGGUUGCAGAGUUGAGUACUUUAUCCCCUAAUUUGACUUGUUCUGGAAGGAGAACAGGACUUGUGAAAAGGAGAGGCCUCAAUGAGGGGCUGAAGCACAGGUUUGCACCCUGCAGACAUUUCCCAAGAGACAUCUCCCUCCCUUGAGCCCCAUCCACUAGCCUUGCUUGCCUUGGAGAUGGUCCCAGGGAGUCACAAGGGUUUAAAUGAGCUGCCCACGUGGGAAGAAUUGAGGUAGCAUAUAAACAUUCUGCAGCCCAAGAGGUUCUGCCAGCCCAGGCUCUACUCGACAGCAGCAGACCCAUCCGGGUACCUCAUGUGGUGCACUUUUCCUUUGGUUUUUUUUUUUUCCUAAUUUCAUGUUGAAUUUCACUGAUGUGAAUGAGUUUCUGAUGACUGAAAUAGCUGCUGACAUUUUACGCUCGAAAAAUGCUGUGAUGGCUUAAGUUGGCUUCUCUCCCCUUGCUCCAGGCAGGUGCCUGUUGCACUACUUGUCCCAGAGCUCUCCAGCCCUGCAGAAGGCGAGAGAGACAAAUGGAUGCUGGCUCUGUAUCCAGCACAGUCUGGGGCCAAUGUGAUAGUUUAAAUGGAAAUCUUUGUUUAAGUUAAUAAGCCAAGCUAUGAGCAGUUGAAAAAGUGGCGUGCAUCUGCUCCAGGGAUUAACCUGCAGCAGAAUUUGGAUAGUGGGGCUGCUGGAGUGUUAAAUCAUCCCCACAUGAACCACCGCUGUUGAGCUGGAAGCAGCCACAGGCACACACCACGCAUCAGCUGCAAGUGCUGCACAUUUGUAUCACUUUAUUUGCAACUAAUGAAAUAGCUAGAAACAUUUAUUGCGUAUAAAUUAUAUAUGAGCACCCAUCAUACAAAUAAACUCCUGUCUCAGCUUUCCAUUUCCUCCUUUAUCAGAAAGUCUUUUAUAUUUGGGACAGAUUCAGGAGUGCACAUCCCCUGGGCCUGUUUUGGUUAACUAGCAAGCUACUCUCCAGGUCUCUCCAAAACCCAUACGCACCUUUAGAGUAAGCACCUAUUUUAAUGUUUGAAGCAGCAGGAGAAGGAGAGGAGUUUCUAGCCAGCUCUUGUCUAGGCUUAACCUUCUUUCACUUGGAAAAUCUGGCAGAUUCCCCAUAUGCUGAGACAAAAUAAUAGCGAAAACCAGAAGUAAUCUGACACUUGUAAUUACAGGCCUACCAGCUCCUUAGUGACCUCAGACAGAACAAGGAAAUAGCACAUACAGAAAUCAUUUAAAACAAGGGAAGAGUUCUAGUUAAUGCCAAGUCUCAUGUGUUUAUGGAAAAGAAUCCAUAAAACUGCUUGGUGACUUUUGGAGAUGUAAGUUAUAGGUUUGGGUUAUGGAUUUGGCUGGUAAAUGUAAUAGCUGUUGAUGUAAUAGGGAUGCAGCAAGGAAUAUGAUACAGUUUUUUAUUUACAAAAAUAAUGAUAACAAAUUAACAAUUUUUGCAGUAAUUGGAUUGAAAAUUGACUUGCAAGCGAGAAAAUGUUUAAGUUGGUACAAGCACAUAACGUGUGUUUUAGAAACAGCCCAAUGGUAAGUUAUUCCACGUGGGCCACACUUCUGGUCUGGCAGCUCUGCCUGUGGAAGAAGUGACGCCAGCAAAGGCUUGACUCAUGGUGUUGGAGCAGCUGACUGUGAGCUCCCCGGGCAACGCUGCAGUCAGAAAGUCUAAUUCCACCCUCAGAUGUAUAAGCAGGGAAUGUGGAGCAGGUGUAAUGAGAUUAGAGUGCAGGAGGCUACAUCGUGUCUGCUCAUUCCAUGGAUGUGGUUACUGAUGUGAAAGGAUUCCCAGUUUUGACACCUACAAUUCAAGGAGGAACGUAACAACUUGGAGAGGCUUCCUGCAAGAGCUCUAAGGCCUGUUAAGGGAUUGGAAGACAUCUUAUGGAGGAGGAGCACUUAGGACUGAUAUGAUCCAAGCCUAAAUACACCUAUGUAGGAUUAAGUUUUUGCUCCUCGGAUUGCUGCUCUGCCCAACAAUGGUACAAGAAAAAACAGUGUAGAGAUGAGGUAUACAUUUUAUAGUGAAGAAAGCCAUUAAAUAAUUGAGCAGUUUACUUAGGGUGGUGGCAGCUUCCCAACCAUUGGCAGUUUUUGAAUUAAGACGGGAUGUUUAAUAAAAAAACAAUGAUUAAUG